AAAUACCUAGAGAUCAAUUCCAGAAGGUGAAAGAGCUGUACACUUAAAAUCAUGAGACAUUGAUAAAAGAAAUUGAAGAAGACACAGCUAAAUAGAAAGAUAUUCUGUGGUCAUGUAUUGGAAGAAUUAAUAUGUUAAAAUGUCCAUACUACCCAAAGCAAUUUACAGAUU